AAAAAAUAAGUUGUUUUUAUACCAUUUCAAAGGACUUUUGGAUAUAAAACUGUUAUCAAAUACGAAAUUUGUGUUGGAAAUGGUGUUUAUUAAUAAACCAAUUCAAAAAUGAAUGAGAAAUUGUGGUUUUGAAAUAGUGGCACCUGUCUGGAAGGUUGCAUGGUUUGGCUCAAAUGCUUUCAUCACACCACUCCAUUCUCUAUAUAAAGGACCCCUUGGAUGACUUUGAGAGUACACCAUUUGCAUAUUGAGCAUUCAUUCUUCUCAAAAUUGCAAUUCUCUUCUUCUUCAUCUCUUUUCAUAUAUUAUAUUCCUUGUAGAGGGGAAACUCCGUCGAAAGUUCGCCGGAUUUGUGGUUUGAAGUGCUACUACCACAAAUCGAAUCCGUUGUAUCUUGGGAGACAAUUGCCGCCAACCGUGAGCACCGUAGCGGGGCAAUAUUGUCUUAAGGAGAGAGUGAAUACACUUGCCUCGGAUUUAAUCUUCGUUUUCUACUCCUUCUUAUUUUAAUUUUCUUAUUUGGUUUUAUGGUUUUGUACUACAUUUCCAUUUCAUAAAUUUGUGUGCACUCAUAAACAACCAUCUUUACCGCUCACAAAUAAGCCCGGCACCAACAAUCUUAAGACAAUAUUUUAUCGAUGG
rnacentral:lncRNA from 1 species